GUGCUCACUUCAGCAGAUAUACCAAAAUUGGAAAGUUAUGGAGAUGACCAGGGCGCACGCAAGGAUGACACACAAAUUCAUGAAGUGUUCCAUAUUCUU
rnacentral:snRNA from 1 species